rnacentral:rRNA from 1 species
AUUGAACGCUGGCGGCAUGCCUUACACAUGCAAGUCGAACGGUAACGGGCCUUCGGGUGCCGACGAGUGGCGAACGGGUGAGUAAUAUAUCGGAACGUGCCCAGUAGUGGGGGAUAGCCCGGCGAAAGCCGGAUUAAUACCGCAUACGACCUGAGGGUGAAAGCGGGGGAUCGCAAGACCUCGCGCUAUUGGAGCGGCCGAUAUCAGAUUAGCUAGUUGGUGGGGUAAAGGCCUACCAAGGCAACGAUCUGUAGUUGGUCUGAGAGGACGACCAGCCACACUGGGACUGAGACACGGCCCAGACUCCUACGGGAGGCAGCAGUGGGGAAUUUUGGACAAUGGGCGCAAGCCUGAUCCAGCAAUGCCGCGUGCAGGAAGAAAGGCCCUUCGGGUUGGUUAAACGUAGCUUUUGUUCUAGGGGAAGGAAAAG